UGUGGGGCAAGAAUGAAGUUAUCUACUUUCUUUUUCAUUUUCUUCGUGCUUUUUGCUUUUGUAGGCUUUGUUCGUGCAAGAAAAGACCCGCAGGAUUACUGGAACAAAGUGAUGAACGGAAAACCGAUGCCUCAGUCAAUUAAAGACCUUUACUCUCAAUCAAAUUUCAAAGAUUUUGAUACUCGCCCAUCACCAUAUAUGAAUUGCGAUUCUUUAAGACACAAAAAAAUGGAAGCUGUUGAUGCAAAAAUUAAAAAUCCUUAAAGAUGUAAAGUCUUCAUUAGAUUCAUUAGUAUCCAUGUAAUAUUAUGGUUUCAAAAUAAUAAAAUUGUGAGGUGAAAAAGCUUUUAAGGAUA